GCGGUGAGACGUCACACGCCGGCCGGGCAUGUUUGGCGCGGUCUGUCUGUUACCAGUUUCAGCUCUUCGCCUGUUUAUUCAGAAAGUAUUUGGUGACAGUCAAACAAUAUAAUUGUAUGAUGGGCCCUGGCAUCUGAGAAGUACAAGAGGAAAUCUGAGUGAUGAGUUACCAUUGAUAAUGUUGGGGAAUGUGCCGGAUAGGGCAUGGGAGGCCCCGGCCCAUGGCGUGGCCCGCCUAGUCCGAGGUUCAGUGAAGUUAGCAGAUAUUAACGUUGGAAGAACCUUUAAGGACUACCAGCGUUUCUUAAUGAGGCUCCGGCGUUUGGAGCAGGAGUCUUCUUUUGCGGCACUGAAUUAGGCAUUGCAUAUCUGGUAUUUGGCUUCUGUGCAUUAAUUGCUUUAGCACUCCUGAGUCCUUAUAACAGUACCAAACGCAUCCCACCCACUACCAUCCCCAGCACGCUCAUACACACAAUUCCAAAGGCCCGCAAGAGGUGAUGGGGUGGGAGGUGCUGUACAAGCCAGUUGAGAACCUCUCACAAUUCCGUAUUUUCCUGCAGAAAAACUGACAAAAACUGAUGUAAGUUUUCCCAGGGCAUGAAACUAGUAAGUGACAACACCAGAUAUUAAACUCAAAAGCCCAGCUGCUCUACCACACCAGUUUGAAAAUCUUCCAAACUGUAAGAAGGUGUUUUAAGCUGUUGAGGAAAGCAAUGCAGUAAGCAUCACAUCUAGUGCUUAGCUUCUCUUAAUAGUUAAGCUAGGAGGGCUGUUUCCCAAAGGAAAUAGUAGGAAGCAUGCUAGUCUCACAGCAUACAUCACUUGGGAGGUUUGAAAAACCCCAUAACCUCCAACACCAGCCUCCCCCUUCUUUGAUAUGGAAAAUUUACAUUUUCUCAGUCUUUUGUAAGGUGAUAUGAUAAACACAAGCAAUUCCCUCCCAAUCAGACAGAAGCUCUAAAUAAAAUCGGAAACUGCUUCAGGGUGCACAGUUGAAACCGUUUUUGUGUCCUUGUAAUCUGGUCCAUUCUGAUCAGUUUUAACUAAUGUAUUAACAUUCUCAACAUAAGGCCUGCUUUUAAGCCCAAGGAUUUCACUAACCUGCUCCAGCCCUGGCUAAGUGAGAAACAUUUGAGUAAGGCCUUUAUCAGUUAGCUGUCCCCUGGCAAGCUCCUGCAAAACCAUCAUCAUCCUGCCCCUGGACCUCACCUGAAGGCCUUUAUUCCCUGCCAUGGUAGUAAUUCCUUGUGAUCCUGGGCCACUGGUGCCCUCACCUUGCUUUUUUCUCAAGCCUCAGAGAAAAGGAUACUUUUCUCUCAAGCCUAGGGAUUUUGCCCCCAGCUGUUUUCCUUUUGUGGAAGACUGUUGCUUUUCCCCUGGCCCAUUAUAAAUCUUAGCUCAGGUCUCAUCUCCUCUCUGAACCUUCUUAAGUUAUUCCAGCCCAAAUUGGUCUCGGAGUAUAACUAGUGAUUAGACCAUAUGCUUCUCCAGUUGUGUUGUGCAUGAUGAUUUCUUUUCUAACAAACUUCCGAAGUCGAGAAUUGUGUUGAGGAGCUGUACUUUUCUAUCUCCCUAAUGCACAUAGCAGGUACUAAUUGGUGGAAUCUCCCUCUAAUCUUUCCACCUUUCGCCCUAGUCCCCUUCUUAAUCUUAAACUUUUAGUGUAAACAUUAACCAUAAUUACUAUGAAGAUAUAUUCAGUAGUAGUAGAAUGUUUUACACAACAUAGCUUUGGAUUUGGAGCUGACAUAAUAAUAUGAAUUCUUAACAAGGAGUACACCAGCUGCCUAGUUCUCUAAUCAGUAAUCAAGAGGCUUAGCAAGUGAAGAAAUUUGGUCAAACAUUAUUCUAGAUGUUUCCGUAGAUAUUUUUUUGGGCUAAGAUUAACAUUCAGGAGUUCCCAUUGUGGCUCAGCAGGUUAAUAACCCAACUAGUAUCCAUGAGGAUGUGGGUUCCAUAUCCCUGGCCUCGCUCAAUGGGUUAAAGAUCUGGCAUUGCUGUGAAUUGUGGUGUAGGUCACAGAUGCAGCUCAAAUUUGGCCUUGCUAUGGCUGUGGUAUAGACCAGCACCUGCAGCUCUGAUCCCACCCCAAGCCUGGGAACUUCCAUAUGCCAAAGGUGCAGCCCUAAAAUGC
rnacentral:lncRNA from 1 species